GAUGAACGCUAGCGGCAGGCUUAAUACAUGCAAGUCGAGGGGCAGCGCAGUGUAGCAAUACAUGGGCGGCGACCGGCAAACGGGUGCGGAACACGUACAGAACCUUCCUUCGAGCGGGGAAUAGCCCAGAGAAAUUUGGAUUAAUACCCCAUAGUAUAUUAGAGUGGCAUCACUUUAAUAUUAAAGAUUUAUCACUUGAAGAUGGCUGUGCGGCUGAUUAGGAGUUGGGCGGGGUAACGGGCCCACCCAAGCCAGCGAUCAGUAACUGGUGUGAGAGCACGACCAGUCACACGGGC
rnacentral:rRNA from 1 species